rnacentral:sRNA from 1 species
CCCAGGUCAAACAGAAGCGGGUGUCUGCUCGCAGGCUGGAUGGAGGGGCCGCCAGAAGGGCCUGAAGAUGGGAUGGGCCCAAGGGCCCCCACUCUCUCCCUGGGGCCUCCCUCUCACUCUCUCACCUGAGGCUCACUGCAGCCAGUCUCACGGGAAGUAAGGAUGUCCCCGGGUGUCCCCAUCACGUUGCUGGAGGACCAGCCAGCUUCCCACUCUCAGCUGGCAGCAGCUGCCGGUGAUGGAUGUGAAGGGACAGUUGUCCACAAGACUCUGGGAGCUGAGGGGAGGCCGGCUCUCCAGGCAGCACCAGAGCAAAGCCAUCGCAGCCCCGCCGGCCGGGUCACUUUCUCCCGGGGCAGAGCCACCAAGGAGGGCUGGGGAGAGCCUGGCACUGCCCUCCUGGAGAGGGGAGUUUCCUGCUCACCCUUCACACACAGAGGAGAGGGGUGGCUUUUGCCUGCAGGAGAUCUUCUGGCCCCAGAAACAGCAGGUGCUGGAUUUGCAGCCCUGGCCCUCCAGGCCCCAACGGGGCGGCAGUGUGGGACCAGCCUGGAGCAGGGCUUUUCCAAGGCUGCUGAUGCCAGCUCUCCUCACUUGGACUGACUACCAGGACCCAGAAGGAACUUAGGGUGAAGCUCAUUUUAUUCCCAAGCCUGAGUCUCAGCAGCAAAGUUGGUGUUUUCUUCCUCUGUUAAAAUCUGAGAAAGAAGGCCAGGUGCGGUGGCUCAUGCCUAUAAUUCCAGCACUUUGGAAGGCCGAGGCGGGCAGAUCACGAGCUCAGGAGAUCGAGACCAUCCUGGCUAACAUGGUGAAACCCGUCUCUACUAAAAAAAUACAAAAAAU